rnacentral:rRNA from 1 species
UACGUAGGGGGCAAGCGUUGUCCGGAUUCAUUGGGCGUAAAGCGCGUGUAGGCGGCCAGGUAGGUCCGACGUGAAAACUGGAGGCUCAACCUCCAGCUGUCGUUGGAAACCAUCUGGCUAGAGUCCGGAAGAGGAGAGUGGAAUUCCUGGUGUAGCGGUGAAAUGCGCAGAUAUCAGGAAGAACACCCGUGGCGAAAGCGACUCUCUGGAACGGUACUGACGCUGAGACGCGAAA